rnacentral:lncRNA from 10 species
CUUGCUUUCCUACUAGUCUUUCUUUCAACUAAGUCUUCGCUUAUUAUCUGUUUUGGCCAAGGAGACCGGAAAAGAAAUCCAUUCUCAGGGGUGGGACUCUUUUUGGAAUUAUUUUCUUCACUGAUCAGAGGGAGAUGCUCUAGGAGAAGUGCCUGCUCCUGUCUCGUGGCCUUUGAAUUCUGUGAUGUGGGGUGUGGGGUGCGGCUGUGACAGCCACCUCACAAGGAGCAUUUCCAGUGGCUAAAGAUGAGUGCUUCAACGGAUCAUCCGAAGAGGUUCUGCAGGGCUAGAGAGACUCCAAACACAAGAAUUGGGCAAACACUGAACUGGAUGUGGUUGCUGAAUUGUUUCUGUCCUUAUCUUGUUGAGAUGUUUUACAUCUUUCAUCAGAAAUUUCUCCACUGUCCUUGAGCUAGUGUUUUCCAAAUGCCAGUCGAUAGAGCAGUGCUGAUCUGUGACAACAUUUUCACUGAUCUGUAGUCAUAUCAAAGAAUAAAAAAAUAGGCUGGACAAAGUGGCUCAUGCCUGUAAUUCCAGCACUUUGGGAGGCCAAGACAUGCAGAUCACUUGAGGUCGGGAGUUCAAGACCAGCCUGACCAACAUGGAGAAACCCCAUCUCUACUAAAAAUACAAAAUUAGCCGGCCGUGGUGGCACGUGCCUGUAAUCUCAGCUACUCAGGAGGCUGAGACAGGAGAAUUGUUUGAACCCUGGAGGUGGAGGUUGCGGGGAGCCGAGAUUGCGCCAUUGCACUCCAGCCUGGGCAACAGGAGAGAAACUCCGUCUCAAAAAAAAAAUAAAAAUAAAAAAUAAAAAAUAAACAGAAAAAUAAAAAUUCAUAUUUCUCAAGUGAGGUUUUCAUAAAAUUAAACUCCUCAAUUUGAAGGGUUUUCUUUUAUUCUAAAAUUAUGUCCUUCUUCAUUCUGGUUUCUCUUCAGAUUGUAUAAACCUUUUGGUUUUUACUCAAAUUAUGUUCUCAUACAUUUUGAUGUUAAAAUAUCCUUAUUUUUAGUGGGAAGAUGGCAAAAAUGGAUGGUAGUUUUAAAAAUAUCUUUACUUGGCGCAAUAAAUACCUGGCAACCAUAUAUUGAUUUCCUCUCUACUUUUUAAAAAUAUAUGUUAGUCUAUAAAAUAUAAAAUCUGAAAACCAUGGCUCUAAAUGCCUCUAAGUCUCUCACGGCUCACUUCCCAUGCGAGUGCACAUGGGGAAAGUUGUUACAGUCCCCAUCAGCAGGAGGAACACAGGAGACCCAAGUUCAAAUCUUGCUUCUCCACUUACUGGUCCUUUGACCUGGAAUAAGACAUUUGGUUUUAUCUGUAACAUAGCAAUGAGUAUUGUACCUACCUUAUAAUGGUUUUUAUGGGGUGCUCAGUAGAUGUUUGCUCUAAUGACUACUAUUACUAAUUUCAGGUAAUUUUUUUUGUCUCUCAAAUUAUAAUUAGAGUUUAGACUUUAAAGACCAGAUCUUUUCAUUUAAAUUUUUAUAUCUCAAAAUACUGUCUGAAUGAUGGACAAAUCUCUCCUUAAGGUAACCAUUUAAAUUCAUUCUCUGAAAAAAAAUGUAUUGCAUCAUGAAAUGAAAAUCACCUUUAAAAAUAUAAAUUGCAAAGUGAAUGGUGAUUUUCCUCUGACUUUCCAUUGAUACCAUAAGGAGCUGGAUUGUCAGAAUCCUUUAGAAUUGUAAAAAAAAUGGCAAAGGGGACAGGGGCCUGUUCCUCAUUUGUUUUGAGUAGACACUUAUCACCAACACACCAUAGGUCUAAUCCUGUCUAAAUCUAGAAAUAAGAGCUUAGAUUCAAUAACUUCUAAAAAUUCCCCAGAUCAGAGCAAUUGGAUUUAAGCUUCAUAAGCAGUGAAUAUUGUAUAACUUUUAAUUGCCUAAUUGUAGGCUUAAGCAUGUUAAGCUAUUUUCAUUUCAAAGUUUCAAGCCCAAGUCUAUUUAAAUAAGCUGAAAUCAAUGGCACUUCAUAAACUGCCUCUUUUACAAGAAUUCCAGAGUCAUUCUCUGUCCCUUUUUUCUUUGUGACAGCUUCAACUUUUAUGCUUUCAGAACAGAUCACUGGCAGAAUGUUCCUACAGUAGAAAUAAAACGACUUUGUAGUUUUUCUUCAUUAUCAAGAUCUGAAAUAUUUUAACAAAUGUUAGUCGGUUGGUGAGGCCUGGCAAGCUCUGGAAGGAGCUCUGGAGAGGAACCAAACUAUGUCUCUCACAUGUUCCCACGCUUUCUUAUGUAAUAAAAAGAGUC